rnacentral:rRNA from 1 species
CCUACGGGGGGCUGCAGUGAGGAAUAUUGGUCAAUGGACGAGAGUCUGAACCAGCCAAGUCGCGUGAAGGAUGAAGGCCCUAUGGGUUGUAAACUUCUUUUAUAUGGGAAUAAAAUGUUCCACGUGUGGGAUUUUGUAUGUACCAUAUGAAUAAGGAUCGGCUAACUCCGUGCCAGCAGCCGCGGUAAUACGGAGGAUCCGAGCGUUAUCCGGAUUUAUUGGGUUUAAAGGGAGCGUAGGUGGUUUGUUAAGUCAGUGGUGAAAGUUUGCGGCUCAACCGUAAAAUUGCCGUUGAAACUGGCAGACUUGAGUACGGUAGAGGGAGGCGGAAUGCGUGGUGUAGCGGUGAAAUGCAUAGAUAUCACGAAGAACUCCGAUUGCGAAGGCAGCUCACUGGACUGUAACUGACACUGAUGCACGAAAGCGUGGGUAUCAAACAGGAUUAGAUACCCUUGUAGUC